GGCAACAGCUCAAAUUUGAAAGCUAGGCCUUCGGGUUCGCAUUGUAAUUUGUAGAGGAUGAUUUGGGGAAGCCGCCUGUCUAAGUUCCUUGGAACAGGACGUCAUAGAGGGUGAGAAUCCCGUAUGUGACAGGAAAUGGCACCCUAUGUAAAUCUCCUUCGACGAGUCGAGUUGUUUGGGAAUGCAGCUCUAAAUGGGAGGUAAAUUUCUUCUAAAGCUAAAUAUUGGCGAGAGACCGAUAGCGCACAAGUAGAGUGAUCGAAAGAUGAAAAGCACUUUGGAAAGAGAGUUAAAAAGCACGUGAAAUUGUUGAAAGGGAAGCGCUUGCAAUCAGACUUGUUUAAACUGUUCGGCCGGUCUUCUGACCGGUUUACUCAGUUUGGACAGGCCAGCAUCAGUUUCGGCGGCCGGAUAAAGGCUCUGGGAAUGUGGCCUCCACUUCGGUGGAGGUGUUAUAGCCCAGGGUGUAAUACGGCCAGCCGGGACUGAGGUCCGCGCUUCGGCUAGGAUGCUGGCGUAAUGGUUGUAAGCGACCC
rnacentral:rRNA from 1 species